AUUUAUGUAGUUUAAUUCAAAACCUUACAUUUUCACUGUAAAAAUAAAGUUAUCUUUCAUAAAUU
rnacentral:tRNA from 1 species